UACGUAGGGUGCAAGCGUUGUCCGGAAUUAUUGGGCGUAAAGAGCUCGUAGGCGGUCUGUCGCGUCUGUUGUGAAAACUCAGGGCUUAACCCUGAGCUUGCAGUGGGUACGGGCAGACUAGAGUGCGGUAGGGGAGACUGGAAUUCCUGGUGUAGCGGUGAAAUGCGCAGAUAUCAGGAGGAACACCGGUGGCGAAGGCGGGUCUCUGGGCCGUAACUGACGCUGAGGAGCGAAAGCAUGGGGAGCGAACAGG
rnacentral:rRNA from 1 species